rnacentral:rRNA from 1 species
UGGGGAAUUUUGGACAAUGGGGGAAACCCUGAUCCAGCCAUCCCGCGUGUGCGAUGAAGGCCUUCGGGUUGUAAAGCACUUUUGGCAGGAAAGAAACGUCGCGGGUUAAUACCCCGCGGAACUGACGGUACCUGCAGAAUAAGCACCGGCUAACUACGUGCCAGCAGCCGCGGUAAUACGUAGGGUGCAAGCGUUAAUCGGAAUUACUGGGCGUAAAGCGUGCGCAGGCGGUUCGGAAAGAAAGAUGUGAAAUCCCAGAGCUUAACUUUGGAACUGCAUUUUUAACUACCGGGCUAGAGUGUGUCAGAGGGAGGUGGAAUUCCGCGUGUAGCAGUGAAAUGCGUAGAUAUGCGGAGGAACACCGGUGGCGAAGGCAGCCUCCUGGGAUAACACUGACGCUCAUGCACGAAAGCGUGGGGAGCAAACAGGAUUAGAUACCCUGGUAGUCCACGCCCUAAACGAUGUCAACUAGCUGUUGGGGUCUUCGGACCUUGGUAGCGCAGCUAACGCGUGAAGUUGACCGCCUGGGGAGUACGGUCGCAAGAUUAAAAACUCAAAGGAAUUGACGGGGUCAUAGCUGUUUCCU